rnacentral:lncRNA from 1 species
ACUAGUCAUGUGUGAUGAGCAUCCUGAGUCCAAGUAUUAUUGAUCCUGGAAUCUUUCUUCAUAUCUUGUUAUGAACAUCAAUAACAUCUCUUAUUCUUCAAGCUUUGCAAACUUUGCAUCAAUUUCUCGAUUCUUUUGUUUUUCAGGACAAUCACUUGAAUAGUGACCAUACUUCUAACAAUUGAAACACUGAAUGUGACUUUUGUCAGGUUUUUGA